UGUCUAUGCUCAGUGUUCUGACCUGUGAACAGCUGAAUAAUAAA
rnacentral:snoRNA from 1 species